AUGAGAACAGACUCUGCACGGGUUCUUCACAGAGACACAGCUGUUUGCAAUAGUUUGGAUAGCCCAGAUAACACUGCUACUACUGCGAGGGUUAAUCCAGUAAAAGCAUCUACUGAUAAUGCCUUUAUUUCUCCAGAGGAGAAAAGCUCAGUGCAGCAUCAGGAUACGGAUACGACAAAUUUCUCUCUUUUUACUGAACAGUCAGCUGAGAAGGAGUUAGAGACCGUGGAGAAAGGUGAGAGACGGGACGUGUUUCAGAGGGUUUCUGAAAGGUUAGCAGACGUAACUGCAGACUGCGUUUUGGAAGAUGUAGAGAAGCAGGACAGUACGGAUGCUGAUGAAGCCACCUCUCAGCAUCUUCUACACAAGAUCACGACAGUUCUGGAGGAUUCCACCAGUACGACAGGUCCAGAAGUGGAGGUUUGGCCAGGAACCUGCACUGCUGAGGUAGUACUAAAGGUGGUACUAGCGCAGGAGCCGGAGUCAGCCAGCCCGGAAAAAGAGCGCACCUUUCCUCGAGUGGGCGAGACUGUGGAGUGCCACACUCUGGUAAAAGGCCUUCGAUCAUAUGAGGUCCUUUCUCCUCCCGCGGGCUCACGGCAGGCUCCCAGCCACUGCUCCAAAUGGAGGAAAGAACUUCAAGCUGAGGAACGAGACGGAGCAGAAUCUCCUCAGGCCAAGGAAGACCUGCGUUCUGGAAAGACCUCAGUUCGAGGGUCUAUUAAAAGAGGGAUGAUGCCCCGAAGUUUCCUCUCCAACAGCACAGGCGUUCCAAAAGUGCGAGCGAAGGCUGAUUCAAACCUUCCUGAAGCUUCCUCAACCCCUCGCGCUUCACGCCUCACUCCUCCACGCACCUCCUCCAUGCGCUUAUUGCCAAUCACGCGGCCCACCAGCAUCCAAAGUGAGCUGAAACGCAGCAGCAGCACGCGAGACAAGGUCAGCGCUCAGUCUGAAACAACGGUUAAGCAAAACCGGCGACCUGCGGAGAAAUCUGGCCACGAGAAGGAGAAGACGCUCUCGAAUCGUGAGAAGUUUGUUAGAGGUUCUCCGUUACGAGUGACCAAGCGUUUCGCCUCCACUUUGGAACCUCAGAGCCCAAACCAGACUCGUACUGUUCAUAGCCCCACCGCAGCUACGAAUGCGAAAAAUAUCCGAACUGCCGUCAUCAACGCAGCCAAAGCCAAAACAGCCAAGAACACAGAGACCACCUCCGCCAAGACGACACCAGGGACGAGAAACACCGCGCCUAAAAUCCCACGAGCUGCUGCAGCUCAGCCAAUGUGGAGGUGA
rnacentral:lncRNA from 1 species